rnacentral:rRNA from 1 species
UACGGAGGGGGCCAGCGUUGUUCGGAAUUAUUGGGCGUAAAGGGCUCGUAGGCGGCCAACUAAGUCGGAUGUGAAAUCCCCAGGCUUAACCUGGGAACUGCAUCCGAUACUGGAUGGCUUGAAUCCGGGAGAGGGAUGCAGAAUUCCAGGUGUAGCGGUGAAAUGCGUAGAUAUCUGGAGGAAUACCGGUGGCGAAGGCGGCAUCCUGGACCGGCAUUGACGCUGAUGAGCGAAAGCUAGGGGAGCAAACGGG